AUUUGAAAUAAAUAUAGCCAAUCAGAAAGCAGUUAAGGUCUAACCGCGAAACGAAUCAUUGCGCAUCAUAAUGCGCAUGGCGUUAGUCUACAGUCGAAAAUCAUAGUGAUGGGUUGCGUUCUACCGGUUGAAGUGUAUAAUUACGUAAAAUUUUCAUUAAUAAACUAUUGUGUUGAGUUUAAUUGUACAUUAUUAAGUUUUAUUUAAUCGAUAUGUGUUUGUUUAAUCAUUAUUGUAUCAAAAUUGAAUAGUAGUUUAGACUUUUAUCGUCUUUCUAAACUUUAUCAAAGUUCGAUCGAAGUUUCGAUGAUUUCGAAAGCAUAAUAAUUUUCGCAGAUACCAUGAUAAGAAGAAAUAAUCCAAAGAAUUCAUCGAAUGAGUUUAUGUUUCGAUAUAUCUACAUUCUGUUUUCGAAAUUCGCGACGAUUGGACGCUCCGCUUCAGAUGCGUAAUUCAGAUUGCUGAAAUUACUUUAGGCGGGAAAAAUUUUCAAUAUGGAUGCCAUGAUGAUAUUUCACAUUUUAUGGAAAGAAGAAUCAGUGCAUCAAAAGGAUAAAACGAUCAUCCAUCACGCGAAGAGAUUCUCCUAUCUGAUGACAUUCUUCUGGACUUCAGCAGCAAUUCUUUGCAUCGAAUACUUAGGAUUUUCAGGUUUAAUCCUUUCCAUGCAUACCAGGACCUCACUCACGUGCCUAGGUGCUACUUGGAUGAAAGGCAGCGAGCAAGAUGGCCUUAAUUUAUAACUUAAUGAAAAUUUUUUCAGCGACUGACGAUACAUUAGUGUAUCGUGCACGACGUAUUUUCCACAUAUGUAUAUGUAUAUGUAAUUAGGCUAUGGAAAUGCGUUAUUAUUUCAUACGAAAAAUAUUACAGAUGUAAUAAUAAAUAGUAGCAAUAGUAUCAAUAAUUCUAAAUUUAUAAUACAUAUGCAUUCGUUUAUUCACAAUUAAAAAUUAAUAAUUAAAAUUUUAGAUUCACGUAUUUUUAUCACGAAUCACGCAAUGGCCGUCAUCAGUCGAUUUAAGAAAAACGUGUUGCGUCGAUAAAAUAAUAGCGGUGAUAUAAAAAUAGAAAUCACGUGGAGGAGAGUUUGAAAAAGUUGGAUCAUAGCAUAUCAGAUGGCGUAAGGAACAUCGAUCGAAGUCGAUAUGUUGAAAUAUAUACGAUAGAGAGUUCCGUAAGAUGUCACUACUCAUCUGUUCUUGGUCAGUGUAACAGAUUUCUAUUGUAACAACAUUGAUAACGAAAUGGUGGAAAAUUAACUCCAGUGGGCUGUAUUCCAAAAAUUGAUACAAGUUUUCAUGUUGGUUUAAUAUCUUGUAGCUACGAUCAAUGACUGGAAUAUUAUUCGUGACUAUGCAUUCUCCGAAGGCUGUCUAUCCGAAUACAAACGACCAAGGUCAUGAAUCUACGAGAACGAUAUUUCUUCCUACAAAUCUGCAGCCUCGUAAAAAGUAUCGUAACACGCACGCAUCUACUACCAAUCGCCCUACUCUCCGACCAAAAUAAUCGAUAAGAGGUUCUCGAAACUGGUUGAUACAUCGACCUUUUUUGCUAAAAGAGAAGGAAAAAACCUUAUCGCUUACACGAUACGCAAAAAGAUCAUUGUGAGAAUAUCUCUUAUGCUAUACAUAAACUACAUAUAAUACUCACGUACCGUAAUAAAGAAGAAAAAUCAAAAUUUCCAGUAAUACGAUAGGGCAGAAGUUACGUGGCCUAAUAUUGUAUUUCGGUGGAGACCCUACCGGAGAGUGGUGGAAAUAACUGUCACAGAAGACAAUUUAUGUUAAUGACUGUUCCUGGGUCCGAGGAGAAACGCGAGGCAGGUCCAGUCUGCAGGCCUCCGUGGAGCGGAUCGGACAUCGUUGCUGUCGUCGCUCUCUCGUACGCCGGAUUUUUCCCCUCUCCAACGUCGAGGCAACCCCUCUUCGAUUCAACCCCGCAAUGGCGACGCCCCGUGUCGAUCCAAGUGUCCGCCACGCAAACUCGCGGGAUCCACGACCCAUGGCGCUUGUGCGUGGCCCGUUUUAUCGUCAGCGCCGUGCUUACUUAUUGUCGAGAUUCAGAAUGUCGUUCGUGAUAUUAGUGACCAAGAAUAAUCGUCAAAGUGACUUAUACUUGAAAUAGACUCAUUUUGCAUUUUUCCUUUUUCUUUCGAAUCUAAGUGUGUAAAGAAGAAUAAGAGAAGAGAGAGGAGAGACGACUAUGUGGUGCGACGUUUGAGGGCAGAAGGGAGGAGGAUGUCCUUCCUAUAUGCUGAGAACGUUAAAAUGGAUCCCUUGGAUGGACGAGGAAGUGGAUGAGUUUUUGAUCGAGGGAUCGAUUGGAGAGGAAACGUAACACGAUGUCUUCCUUGCAACGGAACGAGCGUGCAGUAGAGUCUCGUUGGAUCGAAAGGGAAUCGAGGCAGGAAGGAAGAAACAUAUUCGGAUGUCCUUUGGAGAAUGCUCUCUCUCGAAGAAACUCUUCGCCCUCCUCGCCCACCAGAUUCCGCCACCGGUUACGCGCCAUUCGCCGCUGCCCACGUAACUCUCGUAAUCCUCGCAUUCUCCACCUAAGCAUCCUUAGUUUCGGUUGGCGAUGUGGUGUGUCCAUUGCGGUCGAUGUGCGAGUUCCAUUACGGAGGGCGCGGUUUGGGAAAGUUUCGUAAUCGAGAAGAAUGGCGAUGACCAAGUAACCUGAAAACGGAAGGUACAUCGACACGCAAUAAAAGGAGCUGUACCGCUAAGGUGCUGCACUGGAGGAGGAGGAGGGAGGAGGACGAAGGAGAACACGACCUUGGAGCUGCACAUUCAGCUGUGUCAUCCGCGAGCCGUUAACGCUCAGGUGGUUUCUCGAGUGCCCCAGGGACGAGCAUCAAUCACUCAAUCGGUAGUGCAGGUGUAAUAUGAUUAUUGUCGCUAAGAUAACACGAUACAACCCUGUAUAAAGUGUGCCAAGUGACGUAACAGGAUUUAUCCUCGCAGGAUGACGCGUCGAAUCGAGUAUUCUUUGUUCACAGUAUUUUCCCUUUGGAAUUUAGAGAAUUUCCUCUUCGUUGUGGAUUGCAAAAUUCUUAAAUAUGUAUCAUUCAAAAUGUCUAACGUCGGGGGAGGAAACUUGCGAAUUUUUUUCUCUUGAAUAAAAAGUGCUUUUUCUAUAAAUUUGUCUAAAUUUAAAUUUCGUUCGCAAAGGAACGACUCGUUCUCGCGGCAGAGUUAGAGGGGAGGCAAAAGGAAUAGAUGCUUCCCUGUUGGAAGCGCACAGUGACUCGGCACAACCUGUCUAUUUUCUUCUCGCCGAAUGACUCCGCGUUUCGAUACACUCUCGAUCUGGGCUAGUGAGAGCGCCAAUUUUAACUGUUUAUCUCACGAAACCUUGGAGAAACUCUCUCCCAACAAGAAGAAGAAGAAGAAGAAGAAGAGGAGGAGGAGGAGGAAGAAUCGAUUGGACGAAAGCUUGUUGUUUGCUUGCUAAUAAUAAAAAAGAAAAGAAGAACAGGGAAUCGAAUCUGAAUUAAAUAAACCGAUUUCGAGUUUGAAUAUCAUGCAAGACGAUAAAACCCGACCCGAUUAUUGAACGAUCGAUAAUUAAUUCGUAAACAUUUUUAGGUUGAAGUAAAGUCUGACUGAGUGAAACGGGGAGAAAGGUGGACGAUCGAUCGCGUACUGGGCCAACGAGGAGAUGUAAGAUCUGGAUGGAGAUGAAGAUUGCGAUUAAGAAGAAAUUAUCGUAUGUUGCAAGUUGCAAGAAAAUUGGGGAGAAUCGAAAAAAAAAAGUCGUCCAUAUUUCUAGAAAUCGUCGAAAUGCGGACGACAUCAACGAGGACAGACGAGAGAGGAAAAAGAGGCGAUGCAUGCAAGAAGGGUCCCUCGUCUCAUCUUUUUCAAUUCGAGCUCUUCCAUCCUUUUAUUCACGGCCGAUCGUGAAAGAGUGGCGGCACGGGUUUUCUUGAAUCCUUCUGUAACGUCCAUUAAUCUUUGAUCGUGCUCGCACGUUAAAAUGACACGUUGGCCGUUCGUUACGCAACCUCUGGUAAAGUGCUAAUGAAGUGCAUACACGGCCGUAAUUACUACGGAGAGUCGGAGUGGCCUGCCCACUUUUCACGCCGGUUGAUCGAACGGCGGUUGGGAAAAGAUAGGAGAGAGAGAGAAAAAGAAAAGAAGAAAAAUACUCGAUUUCGUAACGAUUCAGGUGGAAAACGAGCGUUUCAUGGCGGCGUACGAGCCAAGCGUUUUUUUUCUCUCUCUCUCUUUCUCUCUUUACACGCUUAUUUGUGCGUUUCCUUCGUGUGCGAAAUUGCGCGCGCGUGUGCAGCGUGGAAUGCGAUGGAGUUGAAAAGACUUGUAGAGAUUAUUAUCGAGACUUAUCUUUGAUUUUUUUUUUUUUUUUUUUGAUUUGGAUUCAAAUUAAGUUUUUUCUGUUUGAAUUUCUUCUCGGAGGGAAUUAUCCGAUUAUAAUACGAGCUUUGCAAAAAAUUGUUUUUCAAUGAACGCUAAUUAUGGAAAAAAUAUUCUUUCAAUAUUUUUUUUCGUUGGAAUUCUAUUCUUGGAACGCGAUGGAAUAUUCCGAUUAAAAGUUAUUUUUAGGGUUCUCCUGGAGAUUAUUUUAUUUAUAAUAAUAAAAACUAGGUAUUUUUCUUCUUAUAAUAAAUAAUACGAUAUAUUUAUUUAUAGUUAAUUUAAUCGUUAAUUAAUAAGUAAUAAAUAAAUAAGUUAAUUUUUAAUCGACUUGUAUCAAGAAUGAUGACAUGAAAUCGAUACAAAAGUUAUUUGUUCUGUCAUUGCUUAUUUUUAUGAAGAGAAAAAAAAAAUUUUGUAAAAAUGUUGUCGGUUCAAAUUCUCCUUGUAAUUGAAAAAAAGAUUGAUAAAUCAUUUUUAUCGUUAUCACGCCAAUCUAUGUAAAUAGAAAUAUUUUAUCUAUGUAAAUAGAAAUAUUUAAAUUAAUUCGUUCGUCUUAUAGGAAAUUAUUGUGCCAUCGAGAUGAGCGAUCGAUUACGAAUUUUAUUAACUCGAGUUUUUAAAUAAUCUUAAUCUUGGUAUGAAAUCGUGGCGCAUUGUAGAUUGGUUGGAUGAUAAGGAAGAAGAAGAAGAAAAAAAGGGGGGAGCGACGGAGUUGCAAUUAAGAAAACGGAAAAUCUGCAAUUCAGAACGAAUUGAGCACGAUUGUAUUAUACAAUAUAAUGGAGAAAACUUGGAGAAAAAGCGUUCGACGAAGCGUACUUCGGAGCGCCGAUCCUUUAUGAUUAACGAGGAAAAACGUGUUCUCCGUUUUUAUCCCAUAUCGACGUCGCUCCAACCGCGAUUAUUUCUUUUUUUUCUUUUUUAAUCACUCGUCACACGCGUAUUCAUGCAACGGAAUAUGUAAUUUUUGGGACAAAUUUCAAGUAAAAAAAUUUUUUACUUUUUUACAACA